rnacentral:rRNA from 1 species
UACGUAGGGGGCAAGCGUUGUCCGGAUUUAUUGGGCGUAAAGAGCGUGUAGGCGGCCAGACAGGUCCGUUGUGAAAACUCGAGGCUCAACCUCGGGCCUGCAGUGGGUACGGGCAGACUAGAGUGCGGUAGGGGAGAUUGGAAUUCCUGGUGUAGCGGUGGAAUGCGCAGAUAUCAGGAGGAACACCGAUGGCGAAGGCAGAUCUCUGGGCCGUAACUGACGCUGAGGAGCGAAAGCAUGGGGAGCGAACAGG